ACUGAUAGACACAGUGAAAAAUGAGACCUUUAAGCGUUAUUGCUGGAGUUCUUUCCACCUGUCACAGGUCUUAAUCCACAUCUUAAGAACCCCCCUUUCCAGGUAUAGUCUGAUGAGGUCUAUGGUCAGACCCCACCUCAAGUACUGCAUCCAGCUCCGGAGUCUUCAACACAGGAAGAACACUGACCUGUUGGAGCAAGUCCAAAGGAGGGCCACCAAGCUGAUCAGAGGGAUGGAGCACCUGUCUUAUGAGCAUAGGCUGAGAGAACUGUGAUUGUUCAGCCUGGAAAAGAGAAGGCUGCAGGAUGACUUAAUUGUGGCCUUCUAGUACCUGAGGGGAACUUAUAGGAAAGAUGGGGCAAGACUAUUUACAAGAGCAUAGCUGACAAUACAGUUACUGAACUAACAGCUGAAAGAAUGAGGCUGGAUUGUGACAUGGCCCUGCCACUGAAGGCUGAGAAGCACUCAAGCUCUCAGUGAAGAUGAAGAUCAAUAUCAGAAAAAGCAAGUGUACUUCCCAUGUGGUCUGAGACCACUUUGCUCACCUGAAAAGUAUUUUUUUGUAAAAUACACACACUGAGAAACUCC